CUACGGGUGGCUGCAGUGAGGAAUUUUGCGCAAUGGGGGAAACCCUGACGCAGCAACGCCGCGUGAGUGAAGAAGGCCUUCGGGUCGUAAAGCUCUGUCAAGUGGGAAAAAAUACUUCCGAUUAAUAGUUGGAGGGACUGAUGGUACCACUGGAGGAAGCACUGGCUAACUCCGUGCCAGCAGCCGCGGUAAUACGGAGGGUGCAAGCGUUGUUCGGAAUUACUGGGCGUAAAGAGCGUGUAGGCGGUUUGGUAAGUCAGAUGUGAAAGCCCUGGGCCCAACCCAGGAAGUGCAUUUGAAACUGCCAUCCUUGAGUAUGGGAGAGGAGAGUGGAAUUCCCAGUGUAGAGGUGAAAUUCGUAGAUAUUGGGAGGAACACCCGUGGCGAAGGCGGCUCUCUGGACCAAUACUGACGCUGAGACGCGAAAGCGUGGGGAGCAAACAGGAUUAGAUACCCUUGUAGUC
rnacentral:rRNA from 1 species